AUUGAACGCUGGCGGCAGGCCUAACACAUGCAAGUCGAGCGGAUGAAGUUAGCUUGCUCCUGGAUUCAGCGGCGGACGGGUGAGUAAUGCCUAGGAAUCUGCCUGGUAGUGGGGGAUAACGUCCGGAAACGGGCGCCAAUACCGCAUACGUCCUGAGGGAGCAAGUGGGGGAUCUUCGGACCUCACGCUAUCAGAUGAGCCUAGGUCGGAUUAGCUAGUUGGUGGGGUAAAGGCCUACCAAGGCGACGAUCCGUAACUGGUCUGAGAGGAUGAUCAGUCACACUGGAACUGAGACACGGUCCAGACUCCUACGGGAGGCAGCAGUGGGGAAUAUUGGACAAUGGGCGAAAGCCUGAUCCAGCCAUGCCGCGUGUGUGAAGAAGGUCUUCGGAUUGUAAAGCACUUUAAGUUGGGAGGAAGGGCAGUAAGUUAAUACCUUGCUGUUUUGACGUUACCAACAGAAUAAGCACCGGCUAACUUCGUG
rnacentral:rRNA from 1 species